rnacentral:rRNA from 1 species
GGGGGCAACCCCUUGAGAGUGGCGAACGGGUGAGUAAUGUAUCGGAACGUGCCCAGUCGUGGGGGAUAACGUAGUGAAAAUUACGCUAGUACCGCAUACGAUCUAUGGAUGAAAGCGGGGGAUCGCAAGACCUCGCGCGAUUGGAGCGGCCGAUAUCAGAUUAGGUAGUUGGUGGGGUAAAGGCUCACCAAGCCAACGAUCUGUAGCUGGUCUGAGAGGACGACCAGCCACACUGGAACUGAGACACGGUCCAGACUCCUACGGGAGGCAGCAGUGGGGAAUUUUGGACAAUGGACGCAAGUCUGAUCCAGCCAUUCCGCGUGCAGGACGAAGGCCUUCGGGUUGUAAACUGCUUUUGUACGGAACGAAAAAGCUCUUAUUAAUACUAGGAGUCCAUGACGGUACCGUAAGAAUAAGCACCGGCUAACUACGUGCCAGCAGCCGCGGUAAUACGUAGGGUGCAAGCGUUAAUCGGAAUUACUGGGCGUAAAGCGUGCGCAGGCGGUUAUAUAAGACAGAUGUGAAAUCCCCGAGCUUAACUUGGGAACUGCAUUUGUGACUGUAUAGCUAGAGUACGGCAGAGGGGGAUGGAAUUCCGCGUAUAGCAGUGAAAUGCGUAGAUAUGCGGAGGAACACCGAUGGCGAAGGCAAUCCCCUGGGCCUGUACUGACGCUCAUGCACGAAAGCGUGGGGAGCAAACAGGAUUAGAUACCCUGGUAGUCCACGCCCUAAACGAUGUCAACUGGUUGUUGGGUCUUCACUGACUCAGUAACGAAGCUAACGCGUGAAGUUGACCGCCUGGGAAGUACGGCCCGCAGGUUGAAACUCAAAGGAAUUGACCGGGACCCGCACAAGCGGUGGAUGAUGUGGUUUAUUCGAUGCACGCGAAAAACUUUACC